rnacentral:rRNA from 1 species
GACGAACGCUGGCGGCGUGCUUAACACAUGCAAGUCGAACGCUGAAGCUCAGCUUUUGUUGGGUGGAUGAGUGGCGAACGGGUGAGUAACACGUGAGUAACCUGCCUCCUUCUUUGGGAUAACGCCCGGAAACGGGUGCUAAUACUGGAUAUUCACUGGUCUUCGCAUGGGGGUUGGUGGAAAGGGUUUUUCUGGUGGGGGAUGGGCUCGCGGCCUAUCAGCUUGUUGGUGGGGUGAUGGCCUACCAAGGCUUUGACGGGUAGCCGGCCUGAGAGGGUGACCGGUCACAGUGGGAAGGAGAUACGGCCCAGACUCGUACGGGAGGCAGCAGUGGGGAAUAUUGCACAAUGGGCGCAAGCCUGAUGCAGCGACGCCGCGUGAGGGAUGGAGGCCUUCGGGUUGUGAACCUCUUUCGCUCAUGGUCAAGCCGCAACAAUGGUUGUGGUGAGGGUAGUGGGUAAAGAAGCGCCGGCUAACUACGUG